GUCGAGCGGACAGAAGGGAGCUUGCUCCCGGAUGUUACGGCGGACGGGUGAGUAACACGUGGGUAACCUGCCUGUAAGACUGGGAUAACUCCGGGAAACCGGAGCUAAUACCGGAUAGUUCCUUGAACCGCAUGGUUCAAGGAUGAAAGACGGUUUCGGCUGUCACUUACAGAUGGACCCGCGGCGCAUUAACUAGUUGGUGAGGUAACGGCUCACCAAGGCGACGAUGCGUAACCGACCUGAGAGGGUGAUCGGCCACACUGGGACUGAAACACGGCCCAGACUCCUACGGGAGGCAGCAGUAGGGAAUCUUCCGCAAUGGACGAAAGUCUGACGGAGCAACGCCGCGUGAGUGAUGAAGGUUUUCGGAUCGUAAAGCUCUGUUGUUAGGGAAGAACAAGUGCAAGAGUAACUGCUUGCACCUUGACGGUACCUAACCAGAAAGCCACGGCUAACUACGUGCCAGCAGCCGCGGUAAUACGUAGGUGGCAAGCGUUGUCCGGAAUUAUUGGGCGUAAAGGGCUCGCAGGCGGUUUCUUAAGUCUGAUGUGAAAGCCCCCGGCUCAACCGGGGAGGGUCAUUGGAAACUGGGAAACUUGAGUGCAGAANAGGAG
rnacentral:rRNA from 1 species